UUGUAUUCUUACAUAUAUUCGUCUAACACGGUGUUUUUCUCAUGUAUUUACAAAGAUCUAUGUGCACGGUGUGUUGGUUUUACUUCAUCAAGGUGUUUCCCUCUUCAUAUAUACAAAGAUUUACACAGUGCGUUGGUUUUACCGGUAUAUCACCGGAUACACGGUUUUGUUGGUGGUUUUACUCGUCUUGAACGGUUACAGAGGUCCAAGUGGUUUGUUCCGCGUAAUGUAAUAGUGAGGUGGUUGAAUUAUCAUCUAGAACGUUUGGAAGUCGUCGAACAUCUAGUAGGUUUAGAGGUAGUUCAUCACAUAGAAACCCUUUGGACGUUGUCUUGCCUUUGAGUUUUACCUCGAGA
rnacentral:rRNA from 1 species